GAUUUAGAUUAAACGUUCAUAACAAAUGAUUUCCUAAACUGAUGAAUAACCAGUCUGUGAUCGUCUGUCUGUUAUACAGAAUAAAUGAUGAUUGUUGCCAAGUUAUCCACGUAUAUUAGCUGAAGAUCGCUGAACACUAAGUGUUAAGAACUCUAACAUCAAGUGUUCAAAAAUGAAACACAAAGGCAUUAAAAACUGAACACCACACAUUCAAUUGAUGAACACUAAGUGUUUAGAACUCUAACAUGAAGUGUUCAAAAAUGAAACACAAAGGCAUUAAAAACUGAACACCACAUAUUCAAAUGAUGAACACUAAGUGUUAAAUAACUCUAACAUCAAGUGUUCAAAAAUGAAACACAAAGGCAUUAAAAACUGAACACCGCACAUUAAAUUGAUGAACACUAAGUGUUAAAUAACUCUAACAUCAAGUGUUCAAAAGUGAAACACAAAGGCAUUAAAAACUGAACACCACACAUUCAAUUGAUGAACACUAGUGUAAACAUUUGGAACACCAUUUCAGUUGACUUAGAAAAUGCAUUCGUUUUUUUUUUAUUUGCAGGAAUCGUUAGAUUGAAAUGUUUGAAUUAGGAACCGGUAGCCAAUAAUCC
rnacentral:lncRNA from 1 species